rnacentral:ribozyme from 1 species
UUGUUAUGCUCCUUGAAGGCAUCCUCCUAAGAACAAUCAUUUUGAGGCUUUCUUGUAGUUAUCUUCUGCAAAUGACGAGCAUGUAUAUCUCGGUUAAAUAUUUUAGUCCAAUAGUCUAAAGCUAUUUAGAA